AUUGAACGCUGGCGGCAGGCCUAACACAUGCAAGUCGAACGAGUGGCGGACGGGUGAGUAAUGUCUGGGAAACUGCCCGAUGGAUGGGGAUAACUACUGGAAACGGUAGCUAAUACCGCAUACCAUCUGAUGUGCCCCGAUGGGAUUAGCUUUUAGGUGAGGUAACGGCUCACCUAGGCGACGAUCCCUAGCUGGUCUGAGAGGAUGACCAGCCACACUGGAACUGAGACACGGUCAAGACGCCUACGGGAUGCAGCAGGGGGGAAUAUUGCACAAUGGGAGCAAGGCUGAUGCAGCCAGGAAGCGUGUAUGAAGAAGGCCUUCGGGUUGUAAAGUACGUUCAGCGGGGAGGCGUUAACCGCAGAAGAAGUACCGGCUAACUCCGUGCCAGAAGACGCGGUAAGUC
rnacentral:rRNA from 1 species